AAAUCCUGAUUUGCGUUCAUAGUACGGCCCCCGGAGGAUUUUAUGGUAUGGUAGGAAUUUGAAGUGGCCCCUCGAAUGAAAAAGGUUCCCCACCCCUGCAUUAAACCUUUCUACUAGCCACAGCUUUGCUGUCAGUACAUUUUAUUAUGAUACUAUAAGCUCAGAAAUUAAGUUGAUCAAACAAUUCGAUCUGUGCUAUAAACAUUUAAAUGAACCUACAGAAUAGGCUAUCAAAAUAGAAUCAUCUGAAUGAUCUUUCUUGGACAUACAUUUUGAAGUGACCCUUCGAAUUAAAAAGGUUCCUCAGCUGCUUUUGAGGAAAAACAUCAAUGUGCUUGGCCACUCUGGUUUUUAAAUGGUAUUCUGAACUAAAGCAAGGAUUGUUCAAGUUAGUUGAAAAUAGACAGUCUCUGGUUAAAUUAGUUCUACACCAAGCCUUUAGGUGGCAGUAAAACUAAUUGGCACAAUGCGAAUUCCACACACAAGCCACAAAGAAGCCAUCAGCCGCGGUCAACAUCACCUUCCUGAUUGAACAGAACCACGCGCUGUAUGUGUGGUUUACAAGUUUCUUGGCGAUAUGGGGGAAAAGUUCCUCACAUACCAACGGAAAAUGGGCGUCAUAUACAUGUAAGUACAUUUUACUCAACUGUGGUUUAAAGUUUCAGUACUCAAGAGCGAUUGAAUAGCUCCUCUGAACACAGAUCCGCCAUUGCUAAGUUAUGGCACAGCCGUUUUACAUAGCUGGUAGCUCAAGUCCCCUCAAUGUGACUACACUAGUUGCUGCUGUACGCUAGUAAAUUCUGAUGACUUGCGAGCAUCGUAAUGACAAAAUGCUGUGGUGAAACAGUGAAUAUGUUAAGUAUACUUGUUGAUGGUAAAUUGUUUGACAUUGCUCGUUCUCAGUUGCCUUUCCCCUGCCUAAAGAUAGACAAAGGCUACCGUUAGCAUGCUAUUGCGUUAGCUCAUCAACUAGAUGCUGGGCACUGCUCAUUUUUCACGUCUGCCCGGUAUUUCGCUGAUGAACUAACGCUUAGACGCCUUGCCAAUGUAUUUUACAGCGGCAAAAAUGCAUCUAGGCGACGUUGGAAAGACUGGUGUGCCGUCUGGGUAUGUUGGUUUUCAGUGCUGGGCAGUAGCGAAGCGACUAGUUUAAUUACAUUCUCUAGUAGCUUGGUCGUAGCGUCACUACUAUGUAUCGAGUAGCUAACAUCCCUGUAGUAAUGCUAUUUUUCCUCAAGUAGCGACGUUGUCUACAAAAGCUACAAUUUGUCCCCCAUCGAUUUUACUCAAUGAUUUUUGUUUUACUUUCUCUAUCCUGAAACCUAGGCAGUCACACAGGGGUUCCAAGACCCACCGGCGUAAAAUCAAGUCAAAGGCUGCUGUCUCAUAAUAUGGCGAAGACGAGUCACCUGAAGGCCUAACUCGCCAUAGAAGACUGAAAGAAUUGUCCUGCAGGAUGCUGUGUCCUGCAAUCCUGUGUGCUGUGCUACAGACGCGUGUGGAGGUCAACCCAAAAUGGGCACAGUCUCACCGCAGAAGAGUGAAAGAGGGUAAGCUUAACCUAUAGCCUACGUCAGGGUCGGGGAACGUUUCUCAUUCGAAGGGCCGCUUCAAAUUCAUCCGAGGGGCCGUAAAAGUCCUCCAAGGGCCGUACUAUGAACACAAACCAGGAUUUUCCCUUUCACUUUAGGCCUAUAUUGAAGGCAGCCACAUUUAAACAAACACCACCUUCUUCAGGUUCCCUGAAUAUGACUUAAUUGUAUUGCAAAUGUAUUUUCUAAGAUUCCAUUACAAAAUAUGUCAUAUUUCAUGUGAAGCUGAAUAGCAUUAAAAUUAUAUCGGGGGGCCAGAUAAAACUGCCUCAAGGGUCGCAAACGGCCCUAGAGACAUAGGUUCCCCACCCCUGGCCUACAUUGUCAAUAUGACUUGUGCUACUUUAUAGAUAAGUAAUCAAUGCUGUGCAUUGCUAUGUUUUGAUUUAUUUUCUUACAUCCUACAUAUCCUGGCAGGGAGACAUAGUGCAUGAGACCAUAGAAGACUGAAAUAGGACAUUAUCCCUGUUGGGCUCAAUAUGACUUGCUUAUUGAUAUAUUUGCUAUGUCAAUAUGAGGUGCAUGGUGAAGUAUUAAUUUAUUUGUUGUUUCUACAGCUCCCAGAAGUGAGACUGAGUGCCUGUUGCAGUAUGACGAGGACGCAGUGACCAGAGACCUUCAGUAGACCCUGGCUGAAGAACAUGAAAUCAACUGCAAUGUUUAUAAUGUUGUACAUACCUGUAUAGUCUGUAUUAAAA